rnacentral:ncRNA from 1 species
AACCCGGUUUCAACCGGAAGAAGGACCGUUAAACGGCGGGGGUAACUAUGACCCUCUUAAGGUAGCGUAAUACCUUGCCGCUUAAUUGGCGGCUCGCAUGAAGGCCCAACGAGAGUCCUACUGUCCCCGCCUGGAAGCCGGUGAAACUGACAUUACUGGUGCACAGUCCAGUACCUUCCACCUGAAAGCGAAGACCCCGUGGAGCUUUACUGCAGCCUGUCGUUGUAUUGCGAUAUUGGAUGUGUAGAGUAGGCAGGAGAUGUUGAACGCCGGGCGCCAGCCCGGAACUAGUCAAAAGUGAAACACUGCCCUUUCAGCAUUGUAAUACUCACUUCUCCGGAAGGACACCGAUAGGUGGGCAGUUUGGGUGGGGCGCCACGCCCUCGAAAAAAUAACAAGGGCGCCCAAUGGUCGGCUCAGGUAGGUCAGAAAUCUACCGUUGAGUGCAAGGGCAAAAGCCGGCUUGACGUGGAUUGGCCCAAUAACAAUCCACGAUGCGAAAGCAGGGCCUAGCGAACCAACCUAUUUCAUUUGUGGGAGAGGUUGAUAACAGAAAAGUUACCCCGGGGAUAAUUGAGUUGUCGCUGGCAAGAGUUCAUAUCGACCCAGCGGCUUGCUACUUCGAUGUCGGUUCUUCCUAUCCUGGUGGUGCAGCAGCUGCCAAGGGUGGGGUUGUUCGCCCAUUAAAAGGGAUCGUGAGCUGGGUUUACAACGUCGUGAGACAGUUGUGUUGCUUUUUGGUGGAAGUGCGUUGGUGCCUGCGGGGAAGGAGCCUUUAGUACGAGAGGAACGGGGCUUCGUGGCCUCUAGUUUACCAGUUGUCCGACAGGGCAUUGCUGGGCAGCCACGCCGCAAUGGAUAAGGGCUGAAAGCAUCUAAGCCCGAAGCCACCCCUAAAACGAGGCACCUUAUGACUCUCAUAGAAGAUGAGGUUGAUAGAACUGGGGUGUAAGUGCGAAGUGCCUUGGUGCGACGCAUUCAGCCCGCAGUUACUAAUCGUCAUAGCCACUAUAGUA